rfam:[Eubacterium rectale] ATCC 33656 chromosome, complete genome.
GUACGAAGCGGCCUAGAGUCUGUUAGAAUUAUGUCAAAACACAGCAAUGCUCCGACACGACGUCGGGGCAAGGCGUUACCGCGCCAUGGACGGCGCGUAAAAGCCGGUUGCGUCAAGCAUAGAAAACCUUUAAGCAUAAUUCUUACAGCCUCUUGGCCGCGUAGUAU